UACGUAGGGUGCGAGCGUUAAUCGGAAUUACUGGGCGUAAAGCGUGCGCAGGCGGUUUUGUAAGCCAGAUGUGAAAUCCCCGGGCUUAACCUGGGAAUGGCAUUUGGGACUGCAAGGCUCGAGUGCGGCAGAGGAGACUGGAAUUCCCGGUGUAGCAGUGAAAUGCGUAGAUAUCAGGAGGAACACCGAGUGGCGAAGGCAGGUCUCUGGGCUGACACUGACGCUCAUGCACGAA
rnacentral:rRNA from 1 species